GCCAAGGACACUGAUGAUCCAAAUGAGUACCUAGCCAGGGCUGGCUGGGCUGGGAAGUAGCUCUGGCUUCAUCCUAGAAAUGCCUUGGAGGUCACUGAUUGUCAGACACCUUCACCAACCUCCUUUGAAAAUCCCAGCUUGGUCACUGGAUUACAGCUAUCAGUGGACAGACUGGCUGCUCAUUUUGCCUGUCUUUCAGGACUCAAAAUCUCCACCACCCUGAUUCCGUGUUACUACUCUACCCACCCAAGAACCAGCCAUUUAUCUGAACCUGCUUGCUGUACUCCAGGACACAGUGAUGGGUCACAUUAUAAAACAGGAUGCAAAAACAUCACCCCAAGUCCCUCUGCAGCACAGAACUUCAGAGGAUUGCCAUGCCCAUGGACUCAGUGGGGUCUCCAGCUAGCCGUCAUGCAGCUAUCACAGUGCUGAGUGUCAGAAGUGCCUCAAGGAAAAGAAUUAUGCCUUGUUCCAUUGUUUAACCAUUGUGUGGGGAUAGAAUUAAUUCAUGAAUGGUCACCUGAAGACAGCAGGCUGUGCGUUCCCCAGGAGAGGGAGCAGAUAUACAUCCACGACUCCUAGGAACAGCAUGAUGAAUUCUACUUGCAUCCCUUAACACAGUCUGGCCUCUCCCUGGUUCUCUGCCCUCAUUUGGCUCUGUGUCUGUCUCACUGUGCGAUAUUGAACUAGUGAUAUAUCCUUUCUGAGUCUUGGUUACCUCAUCCUCACUAUAGGGAUCUCACCAGCUGCCCUGACCCAAGACUUUCUAUGGUGACCAACUCCGUUAACAUCUGUUGAAAAGAUGCAAACUGUGAAGUGCGAGGGUGAUAGCAUGCCUCACCCUUUUGCAGCCUCACUGCCUCCCAGCUCACAUUCAUGCUGAUGAUCCUCUCUCUUCCUUCAGUGGGAUCAAAGUAUCCAGCCUCGGACAAAGAAAGAAAGCACAGCACAAAACAGACAACAAAGAUACUACUUUUAGUCUGUCCUUCUUAACAUCCCUCUUGUUUCAUGAUGAUUCACGCUUUAUCCCUUCUUUGCCCCUGCAAACAAUUCCCUUGUUUUAAUAUACGAUCAUCUCUGUAGAAUCUUUUUUCUUGCUUAUUUUCCAAGUGGAUCAAUUCAAUUAGGGUCGAGAGAGUCUCAUUGGAAAACGUUCACAUCUCCCUCUGUCUCUGCUCCCCUCCCCUUCUUGCACACACAUGGUUACCUCUAAAUAUUCUAUAAAUAGAUUGAUCCACUUGAUACAGUUCUAAUGAUUUAUGUUGUAGAGUAAAUCUAAAACCAAUAAAAAUGGAGAUCAAAAAUGUGCA
rnacentral:lncRNA from 13 species